AACGAACGCUGGCGGCAUGCCUAACACAUGCAAGUCGAACGAGACCUUCGGGCCUGGUGGCUAACCGGUUCGUAACGCGGGGGAUCAUGCGCUUAGGAUCUGAACAACUCCUCGAAAUAAGUGCUAGUAACUGAUAAUGUUACCGGACCAAAGCCUUAUCGCGUUUGGAUGGGCCCGCGUUUUAUUAGGUAGUUGGUAGGGUAAAAGCCUACCAAGGCGAUGAUCCAUAGCUGGUCUGAGAGGAUGAUCAGCGACACUGGGAAUGAGACAGGCCCCAACGUGAGGCGGGAGGCGGCAAUAGGGAAUAUUGGGCGAUAGGCGAAAGCCUCGUCCAGCCGUGCCGCGUGAAUGAUGAAGGGCUUAGGGUUGUAAAGCCCUUUUACCAAGGAUGGUAAUGACAGUACCGGGAUAAUAAGCACCGGCUAACUCCGUG
rnacentral:rRNA from 1 species